GGUUAAGCGACUAAGCGUACACGGUGGAUGCCCUGGCAGUCAGAGGCGAUGAAGGACGUGCUAAUCUGCGAUAAGCGUCGGUGAGGUGAUAUGAACCGUUAUAACCGGCGAUUUCCGAAUGGGGAAACCCAGUGUGUUUCGACACACUAUCAUUAACUGAAUCCAUAGGUUAAUGAGGCGAACCGGGGGAACUGAAACAUCUAAGUACCCCGAGGAAAAGAAAUCAACCGAGAUUCCCCCAGUAGCGGCGAGCGAACGGGGAGGAGCCCAGAGCCUGAAUCAGUGUGUGUGUUAGUGGAAGCGUCUGGAAAGGCGCGCGAUACAGGGUGACAGCCCCGUACACAAAAAUGCACACAUUGUGAGCUCGAUGAGUAGGGCGGGACACGUGGUAUCCUGUCUGAAUAUGGGGGGACCAUCCUCCAAGGCUAAAUACUCCUGACUGACCGAUAGUGAACCAGUACCGUGAGGGAAAGGCGAAAAGAACCCCGGCGAGGGGAGUGAAAAAGAACCUGAAACCGUGUACGUACAAGCAGUGGGAGCCUCUUAAUGGGGUGACUGCGUACCUUUUGUAUAAUGGGUCAGCGACUUAUAUUCUGUAGCAAGGUUAACCGAAUAGGGGAGCCGAAGGGAAACCGAGUCUUAACUGGGCG
rnacentral:rRNA from 1 species